CGUUCUAACCCUUUCAAGCACUCAACCCUCAUACCUCGACGACCUGCGGCGGCCACGACCUACGGUGAUUGACGGUGACACAGGACGACCGGCGACGACGGUUUUGCAGCAGCAAGUGCGACCGACGAUUUCUAACAUGUUGUGGCAGUAGCAGUUGGCACUUGGAAGCUGCAGUUUGCUUCUCAGGUAGAGUUGCAACGGCAAUCACCAGCGACCAAAAUAGAGUCCACUGGCAGCGAUUUUGUGAGCUCAACACUAUCAGACCACCACUACCGGUAGUGAAAUUGUCAAGCAAGCAUCAGGUCAAUUCCCCAACAUCCAACUCCUCUCAGUCUAGCCCCUAGCAACAUCUUAUGCUAGUUGACAGCAUUCCUUAGUAGUCAUCCCUAGCAUCAACACCAAGAGCAAGUGAUUCGUGUCUGAAGCAAAUGGGGUUCUUGCAUGAAAAGGAUUUUCAGAGCUGGACAAGCUUGGACAUUAGCCCACUGAUCUCAAAAGCUAAGACGCCAACAUUGGAUAUAUUACCCAUUUCGUUGGUUGUUGUACUUGUUCAAACCAUGUCUGUCUCUAGAGUCAUGGAUUUGAAUGUUGAAGAAGAUGGGAAUGAGGAAGUGGUAUUAUUGUUUUUGUUACGAAGAAUUAAGGUUGUGUUUGGAAACAAUGCAAAUAUGUAGAGUGUAAA